CCUGACCUCGGAUCAGAUGUGAGUACCC
rnacentral:rRNA from 6 species